AGAGUUUGAUCCUGGCUCAGGAUGAACGCUAGCGGCAGGCCUAAUACAUGCAAGUCGAACGGGCGGCAGCAAUGCCGUCAGUGGCGCACGGGUGCGUAACGCGUAGGCAAUCUGCCUAUCUCUGGGGGAUAGCCCGCCGAAAGGCGGAUUAAUACCGCAUGACACUGUGAACCGGCAUCGGUUUAUAGUUAAAGAAUUUCGGAGAUAGAUGAGCCUGCGUGCCAUUAGCUAGUUGGCGGGGUAAGGGCCCACCAAGGCGACGAUGGCUAGGGGAGCUGAGAGGCCGAUCCCCCACACUGGCACUGAGAUACGGGCCAGACUCCUACGGGAGGCAGCAGUAGGGAAUAUUGGGCAAUGGGCGCGAGCCUGACCCAGCCAUGCCGCGUGCCGGAUGAAGGCCUUCUGGGUUGUAAACGGCUUUUGACCGGGAAGAAAAAACUCCUGCGGGAGGAAUCGACGGUACCGGUUGAAUAAGCACCGGCUAACUCCGUGCCAGCAGCCGCGGUAAUACGGAGGGUGCGAGCGUUGUCCGGAUUUAUUGGGUUUAAAGGGUGCGUAGGCGGCCCCGCAAGUCCGUGGUGAAAGCCCCUCGCUCAACGAGGGAACUGCCAUGGAUACUACGGGGCUUGAGUCCAGGCGAGGUUGGCGGAAUGGAUGGUGUAGCGGUGAAAUGCAUAGAUACCAUCCAGAACCCCGAUUGCGUAGGCAGCUGACUAGGCUGGCACUGACGCUGAGGCACGAAAGCGUGGGGAGCAAACAGGAUUAGAUACCCUAGUAGUCC
rnacentral:rRNA from 1 species